CUUUUGACUUAUUUUUAUUACUGGAGUCGAUGCUUAUGGCAACAAUUGUUGCCGCAAUUCAGACAUCAAUGGAGUUGUACCUGGCGGAGCAGAGCACUUAGUCUGAAUGUGUCCAUGCUGCAAUUCCUCUGGCCAAUGCGGGUUGACAUAUUGAAAGCUGCGGGACGCGCCGAAGGGCGGUGUCUUCACGUUUAUUAACUGCAGCGGAGACAAACAAGUCGUGGUUAGGUAGAGGGAACAGACCCCAACUACGGCGAGCAGCAGGAAGCAAGAAGCCAGAAAGCAGAAAAUAGCCGGAAGCAGGAAGCUGCAACCAGAGCUGGACGCAUAAAUCAAUGCGGCUUCCCGCUCUCUUAUCGCUGACUCUAUACGAGUCCUUUGACUGAACCUGAACCUGGACCGGGACCGGGACCGGGACAGCGUUAAUUAAGUUCAUAGAUGCGCGCACUUUCAAUACAUAAUCAAAUGCCAAUUAGCUGACAACUACAGCUAACGUCUGCACACCGAACCAGCGCCCUUCAUUCCAGCCAAAACAAUAAACAAUAAAGCGAAUAACAAUGUGGGAAAUGAAA